rnacentral:rRNA from 1 species
UGCCCUUUGAUUUUUAUAAAGGGUAAGAUCUGCCCAAUGAUUAUUUGAAUGGCCGCAGUAUUUUGACUGUGCAAAGGUAGCAUAAUCAAUUGUCUUUUAAUUGGAGUCUGGUAUGAAUGAUUUAAUGAAAAAUUCACUGUUUCUUUGUAAGAUACGAAUUUUUAAGGUAGGUGAAGAUACUUAUAUUUUUAUAAAAGACGAGAAGACCCUAUAAAGUUUUAUAUGAAAGGCUAAUUUAAUUUAUUUAGUGUUAGUAUUUGAUUGGGGCAAUUAUGAAAUAGUAAAAACUUUCUAUUUUAAAAAUGUUAAUGAGCAAAUUUAUGUAUGAUCCAACUAUUUGAUUAAUAUAAUAAAUUACUUUAGGGAUAACAGCGUAAUUUGUUUGUAGAGUUCUUAUCGAUGAACAAGAUUGCGACCUCGAUGUUGGAUUAAGAUUCCUCUUUGGUGCAGAAGUUUUAAGAGGUAGUCU